rnacentral:rRNA from 1 species
GGCGGACGGGUUAGUAACGCGUUGGGAACGUACCCUUUUCUACGGAAUAGCCUCGGGAAACUGAGAGUAAUACCGUAUACGCCCUUCGGGGGAAAGAUUUAUCGGAGAAGGAUCGGCCCGCGUAAGAUUAGAUAGUUGGUGGGGUAAUGGCCUACCAAGUCUACGAUCUUUAGCUGGUUUGAGAGGAUGAUCAGCAACACUGGGACUGAGACACGGCCCAGACUCCUACGGGAGGCAGCAGUGGGGAAUCUUAGACAAUGGGGGAAACCCUGAUCUAGCCAUGCCGCGUGAGUGACGAAGGCCUUAGGGUCGUAAAGCUCUUUCGCUGGGGAAGAUAAUGACUGUACCCAGUAAAGAAACCCCGGCUAACUCCGUGCCAGCAGCCGCGGUAAUACGGAGGGGGUUAGCGUUGUUCGGAAUUACUGGGCGUAAAGCGCGC